rnacentral:ncRNA from 2 species
CAAAGUCACUAGGGGUGCCCGGCGCAGGAUCCACCGAUCGCUUCGCCCAGGGCUGAGAUCACACCCUCCGAACCUGAUCCGGGUCAUGCCGGCGCAGGGAAGUGCGGAAGCUCUCAG